GGAAGGGUGGCCGAGUGGUUGAAGGCUCCGGUCUUGAAAACCGGCGAGGGGUUAAACCCUCCGUGGGUUCGAAUCCCACCCCUUCCGCCA
rnacentral:tRNA from 2 species